rnacentral:rRNA from 1 species
CCUACGGGUGGCUGCAGUGGGGAAUAUUGCACAAUGGGCGCAAGCCUGACGCAGCCAUGCCGCGUGUGUGAAGAAGGCCUUCGGGUUGUAAAGCACUUUCAGCGGGGAGGAAGGCGGUGAGGUUAAUAACCUCAUCGAUUGACGUUACCCGCAGAAGAAGCACCGGCUAACUCCGUGCCAGCAGCCGCGGUAAUACGGAGGGUGCAAGCGUUAAUCGGAAUUACUGGGCGUAAAGCGCACGCAGGCGGUCUGUCAAGUCGGAUGUGAAAUCCCCGGGCUCAACCUGGGAACUGCAUUCGAAACUGGCAGGCUAGAGUCUUGUAGAGGGGGGUAGAAUUCCAGGUGUAGCGGUGAAAUACGUAGAGAUCUGGAGGAAUACCGGUGGCGAAGGCGGCCCCCUGGACAAAGACUGACGCUCAGGUGCGAAAGCGUGGGGAGCAAACAGGAUUAGAUACCCUUGUAGUC